AAGGCCUAUGAAAACUAGACCAACAAGUCCCUAGCUUCUCAGCUCUCUGCAACAAGUAAAUUUUAGACGAGAGGUGCGAGCAGGUGGCUAUUACGGAUAAAGGACACUAGAAAAAAAGUAAAAGAUUAUGCUGCAACUAGAUCAGGAGUUUCAGCCUCCACGGAUAACAAAGCAGUGUGUACUUUGUCGACCCAAUUGUCUAGCCGAUCCCUCAGUGACUUGAUUUGAGGAAUUCCCAGAACUCUUGGUUGCACCCAGGACACAUGUACUGUCCCUUCGACUUGGUCAAUUAUUCCCUCAAUCAGAUGCACAGAAAGACUCUUCAUGAGUAGAUAUUCGACAUCCUCCACACUUAACUUUGUCCGCUCUGCAAUCACACUCAGUGGGAUAGUUCUAUCAUAUGCUGGGCGACUGAAGAUAAUUUCCAUCAAGCAGAGAAUGUUGAUCUUCUCGAGAAGUUUUUUCUCAUUCUGCACCAAUGCUGGUUGAGCAGUUAAAGCAGCUUGAUGGACAUGGCACAAUUUUUGAUAGUGAACCAAAUCACCGGUGUUAAAUGCUUCAAGAAUAUAAUAGAGCCACUCAACCUUAGUCCCUAUCAAACUCUUUAUAAUUGGAUGAGCUAGCAGUUCUCCGAAGUUGUAUAUGUUGUCUCCUAGCAAUGCUGACAGGGAUAAAUCAAAAGCCAAAUCCAGCUUAAAUGAUUCAG
rnacentral:misc_RNA from 1 species